GGAAGUAAAAGUCGUAACAAGGUCUCCGUUGGUGAACCAGCGGAGGGAUCAUUACUGAGUUUACGCUCUAUAACCCUUUGUGAACAUACCUAUAACUGUUGCUUCGGCGGGUAGGGUCUCCGCGACCCUCCCGGCCUCCCGCCUCCGGGCGGGUCGGCGCCCGCCGGAGGAUAACCAAACUCUGAUUUAACGACGUUUCUUCUGAGUGGUACAAGCAAAUAAUCAAAACUUUUAACAACGGAUCUCUUGGUUCUGGCAUCGAUGAAGAACGCAGCGAAAUGCGAUAAGUAAUGUGAAUUGCAGAAUUCAGUGAAUCAUCGAAUCUUUGAACGCACAUUGCGCCCGCCAGCAUUCUGGCGGGCAUGCCUGUUCGAGCGUCAUUUCAACCCUCAAGCUCUGCUUGGUGUUGGGGCCCUACAGCUGAUGUAGGCCCUCAAAGGUAGUGGCGGACCCUCCCGGAGCCUCCUUUGCGUAGUAACUUUACGUCUCGCACUGGGAUCCGGAGGGACUCUUGCCGUAAAACCCCCCAAUUUUCCAAAGGUUGACCUCGGAUCAGGUAGGAAUACCCGCUGAACUUAAGCAUAUCAAUAAGCGGAGGA
rnacentral:rRNA from 2 species